rnacentral:rRNA from 1 species
CCUACGGGUGGCAGCAGUGAGGAAUAUUGGUCAAUGGACGAGAGUCUGAACCAGCCAAGUAGCGUGAAGGAUGACUGCCCUAUGGGUUGUAAACUUCUUUUAUAUGGGAAUAAAACGUUCCACGUGUGGGAUUUUGUAUGUACCAUAUGAAUAAGGAUCGGCUAACUCCGUGCCAGCAGCCGCGGUAAUACGGAGGAUCCGAGCGUUAUCCGGAUUUAUUGGGUUAAAAGGGUGCGUAGGCGGAUCGUUAAGUCAGUGGUCAAAUUGAGGGGCUCAACCCCUUCCCGCCAUUGAAACUGGCGCUCUUGAGUGGAAGAGAAGUAUGCGGAAUGCGUGGUGUAGCGGUGAAAUGCAUAGAUAUCACGCAGAACCCCGAUUGCGAAGGCAGCUUACUAAACUGCCACUGACAUUGAUGCUCGAAAGUGUGGGUAUCAAACAGGAUUAGAUACCCCAGUAGUC